UUGUAAGUAAUGAAAAACGUAC
rnacentral:rRNA from 1 species